rnacentral:rRNA from 1 species
UACAGAGGGUGCGAGCGUUGUCCGGAAUCACUGGGCGUCAAGGGCGCGUAGGCGGCCUGGUAAGCGUGCGGUGAAAGCCCGGGGCUCAACCCCGGGUCGGCCGUGCGAACUGCGAGGCUGGAGCACUGUAGAGGCAGGUGGAAUUCCGGGUGUAGCGGUGGAAUGCGUAGAGAUCCGGAAGAACACCGGUGGCGAAGGCGGCCUGCUGGGCAGUGGCUGACGCUGAGGCGCGACAGCGUGGGGAGCAAACAGG